rnacentral:pre_miRNA from 1 species
UAGUUUCUUGAAAAGACAAAUUUCUUUAACUUUGAGCAUGUUCAGAGCCAAAGAUAUCAACAUCCAUAAUACUAAAUAGAUAAAAUAGGAAAAUUCAUUUCAUGAUGAAUCUAAUGACGCCGGUUUGAUAUUAUGGAUAUUGAUAUAUUUCUCUGCAAAUUUGGUCAAACUUAAAGAGGUUUGACUUUUCAAAAACUAAU